UACGUAGGACCCGAGCGUUGUCCGGAUUUACUGGGUGUAAAGGGUGCGUAGGCGGAUAGGUGCGUCAGAGGUGAAAUUUCCCGGCUUAACUGGGAGGGUGCCUUUGAUACGGCUUGUCUUGAGUGCGAAAGAGGAUGAUGGAAUUCCUGGUGUAGCGGUGAAAUGCGUAGAUAUCAGGAGGAACACCAGUGGCGAAGGCGGUCAUCUGGUUCGCAACUGACGCUGAGGCACGAAAGCGUGGGGAUCAAACAGG
rnacentral:rRNA from 1 species